rnacentral:rRNA from 1 species
UACGUAGGGUGCAAGCGUUGUCCGGAAUUAUUGGGCGUAAAGAGCUCGUAGGCGGUCUGUCGCGUCGGCUGUGAAAACUCGGGGCUCAACUCCGAGCUUGCAGUCGAUACGGGCAGGCUAGAGUUCGGCAGGGGAGACUGGAAUUCCUGGUGUAGCGGUGAAAUGCGCAGAUAUCAGGAGGAACACCGGUGGCGAAGGCGGCCCACUGGGCAGUCACUGACGCUGAGGCGCGAAAGCUCGGGGAGCGAACGGG